ACGGAGGGUGCAAGCGUUAUCCGGAUUCACUGGGUUUAAAGGGUGCGUAGGAGGGCAGGGAAGUCCGUGGUGAAAUCCUAGAGCUUAACUCUAGAACUGCCGUGGAUACUCUCUGUCUUGAAUCCCGUGGAGAUGAGCGGAAUAUGUCAUGUAGCGGUGAAAUGCUUAGAUAUGACAUAGAACACCAAUUGCGAAGGCAGCUUACUACACAACGAUUGACGCUGAGGCACGAAAGCGUGGGGAUCAAACAGGA
rnacentral:rRNA from 1 species